rnacentral:hammerhead_ribozyme from 1 species
GCACUGCUGAGGAAUCCAAUCCUAGGACGAAACGGCCUUCCAGUGC